rnacentral:rRNA from 1 species
AGAAGAAACUAACAAGGAUUACCUUAGUAACUGCGAGUGAACUGGUAAAAGCCCAGACUGGUAAUCGCUUCGGCGAAUUGUACAGUUUAGACAUGUGUCUUAAGUGRAUCGCAGGCGUAACUUGGCUGGAAUGCCAGACCGGAGAAGGUGAUAGUCCUGUGCCGCCUGUGUGAAGCGAAAGACUGUGUUCAAUGAGUCGGACAGUUUGGGAUUGCUGUCCUAAGUGGGAGGUAGACUUCUUCUAAGGCUAAAUACUGACGAGAGACCGAUAGCGAACAAGUACUGUGAAGGAAAGAUGAAAAGAACUUUGAAAAAAGGGUUAAAAUACUUGAAAUCGCUGUGGAGGAAGCUAUGAGUUCGGCUUUGCUGCAAGUGGAACUGCUGGUACGCCAGUGGGGGAGCUUGUAGGAAAACUCAGCUAAUGUUAAGAUUUAUGUGCCCCGAUGCUGUUAGCUAGGUAGGCCACAAAUUGAAGCGUUUUCUGAGUAGCUGGACCCAUUGACCCGUCUUGAAACACGGACCAAGGAGUCUAACAUGUGUGCGAGUAGUCGGGUGUAAACCUUACUGCGUAACGAAAGUGAGCCUUGCGAAAUUAGCAGCAAGGGCCGCAUUAGCGAGCUCAGCACUUAUGUUGGGACCCGAAAGAUGGUGAACUAUGCUUGGGAAAGGCGAAGCCAGGGGAAACUCUGGUGGAGGCUUGUAGAGAUACUGACGUGCAAAUCGUUCUUCUAACCUGAGUAUAGGGGCGAAAGACUAAUCGAACCAUCUAGUAGCUGGUUCCCUUCGAAAUUUCCCUCAGGAUAGCURGGAACAUCCACAGUUUUAUCGGGUAAAGCGAAUGAUUAGAGGUUCGGGAAUUGUAACAACUUUCACCUAUUCUCAAACUUUAAAUUGGUAAGAUCAGGGAGUUUCUUAAUUGAACUCUUUGACGAAUGUGUGUUCCAAGUGGGCCAUUUUUGGUAAGCAGAACUGGCGACGAGGGUUCAACCUAAGGCAGAGUUGAGGCGACCAAUUGGCAGCUCAUCAGAUGAAAAAGGUGUUAGUUCAUUUAGACAGUAGGACGGUGGCCAUGGAAGUCGGAACCCGCUAAGGAGUGUGUAACAACUCACCUACCGAAUGAACUAGCCCUGAAAAUGGAUGUCGCUAAGCAGCCAGCCGAUACUCUGCUGUUCUGCUUGAAGACAGCAGAACAGGUAGAAGGGCGUGAAGGCCGCGCAGAAGGCUUUGUGUAGACAAGGCUGGAGCGACCUUUAGUGCAGAUCUUGGUGGUAGUAGCAACUAUUCAAAUGAGAACUUUGAAGACUGAAGUGGAGAAGGGUUUCAUGAGAACAGCACUUGGUCAUGAGUGACUCGGUCCUAAGGUCAAGGGUAAUCCUGCGACGGCGUAGCCCAGACCGAAAGGGAAUGUGGUUAAAAUUCCACAAGCAGGCGGUGGAUAUUGCGUGGCAACACAACUGAACUCAAAGACGUCGAGGCGAGGUCCCAGGAAGAGUUCUCUUUUCUUCUUAACAAGCUGCUGCCUUGGAGAUCUUUGCGAUGAGAUAAGGCUACAAGCUUGGAAGAGCAGCACACCCUCUGUGCUGUCUGGUGCACCUUCUUCGGCCCUUGAAAAUUUGAGGGAAACUUUAUUGCUCGCCUGGCCGUACCCAUAACCGCAUCAGGUCUCCAAGGUUAGCAGCCUCUAGUACGUAGAAUAAUGUAGAUAAGGGAAUUCGGCAAAAUAGAUCUGUAACUUCGGGAAAAAGAUUGGCUCUGAGGGUCAGGCCAGGGGCCUUAUUGAUCGGAAUAGUUGUGCUGAUUUGGGCAACCUGUUGGCGUCAGCGACUUCUUGAUUGGUAGGUAACCUCUGGCAGCGAAUGACCAACUCAGAACUGGAGCAGCGAGGGGAAUCCGACUGUUUAAUUAAAACAGAGCAUUGUGAAGGCCAUAAAUGGUGUUGACACAAUGUGAUUUCUGCCCAGUGCUCUGAAUGUCAACGUGAAGAAAUUCAUUUAAGCGCGGGUAAACGGCGGGAGUAACUAUGACUCUCUUAAGGUAGCCAAAUGCCUCGUCAUCUAAUUAGUGACGUGCAUGAAUGGAUUAACGAGAUUCCUACUGUCCCUAUCUACUAUCUAGCGAACCCACAGCCAAGGGAACGGGCUUGGCGGAAUCAGCGGGGAAAGAAGACCCUGUUGAGUUUGACUCUAGUCUGGCUUUGUGAAAUGGCGUAGGGGGUGUAGAUAAGUGGGAGCCCUGCGUAUUGAAAAACCACUACUCUUGAUGUCAUUUUACUUAUCUCGUGAUGUAGAAACCUCCGGGUUCUAGCUUUAUUCUUGGCGGGAGACAGAGCCAGGUAGGGAGUUCGGCUGGGGCGGCACAUCUGUUAAACGGUAACGCAGGUGUCCUAUGGCAAGCUCAAAGAGAACAGAAAUCUCUUGUUGACCAAAGGGAAAAGCUUGCUUGAUUUUGAUUCUCAGUAAGAAUACAAACUGUGAAAGCAUGGCCUAUCGAUCCUUUGCUUUUUAAAAGUCUUAAACCAGAGGUGUCAGAAAAAUUACCACAGGGAUAACUGGCUUGUGGCAGCCAAGCGUUCAUAGCGACGUUGCUUUUUGAUUCUUCGAUGUCGGCUCUUCCUAUCAUUGUGAAGCAGAAUUCACCAAGUGUCGGAUUGUUCACCCGCUAAUAGGGAACGUGAGCUGGGUUUAGACCGUCGUGAGACAGGUUAGUUUUACCCUACUGAUGACUGAUGUCGCUACAGUAAUCCAACUCAGUACGAGAGGAACCGUUGGUUCAGAUCACUGGUUCAUGCGAUUUCCUGACAAGGAAGUGUCGCGAAGCUACCAUCUGUUUGAUUAUGACUGAACGCCUCUAAGUCAGAAUCAAUGCUGGAACGCGACGUCCGCCAGUUGCAUAUGGAAACCAUAAUCCAACUCCCAAUGCAGUUACUGAUGUCUGUAUAAUGCAGGCUAGGUUGCUGUAAUCACCAAAAUGCAACUGGGACAAAUCUUUUGCAGACCACUUACAUGGAACGAGGGAUUGUAAGUAUGAGAGUAAGCUUGCCUUACGAUCCACUGAGAUUCAGCCC